GCCGGGCAUGGUGGCGCGUGCCUGUAAUCCCAGCUACUUGGGAGGCUGAGGUGGGAGAAUCGCUUGAACCUGGGAGGUAGAGGUUGCAGUGAGCCAAGAUCGGCCCACUGCACUCCAGCCUGGGUGACAGAGUGAGACUCUGUCUCAA
ensembl:misc_RNA Metazoa_SRP Metazoan signal recognition particle RNA